UACGUAGGGACCAAGCGUUGUUCGGAUUUACUGGGCGUAAAGGGCGCGUAGGCGGCAAUUCAAGUCAGCUGUGAAAUCUCCGGGCUUAACUCGGAACGGUCAGCUGAUACUGCUUGCUAGAGUGCAGAAGGGGCAAUCGGAAUUCUUGGAUGUAGCGGUGAAAUGCGUAGAUAUCAAGAGGAACACCUGAGGUGAAGACGGGUUGCUGGGCUGACACUGACGCUGGAGGCGCGAAAGCUAGGGUAGCAAACGGG
rnacentral:rRNA from 1 species